rnacentral:tRNA from 1 species
AGGGCUAUAGCUCAGUUAGGUAGAGCACCUCGUUUACACCGGAAAUAGGCACUGUCCGGUCCGUGUGGUGCCG